UACGUAGGGUGCGAGCGUUAAUCGGAAUUACUGGGCGUAAAGGGUGCGCAGGCGGUCCUGCAAGUCAGGCGUGAAAUCCCCGGGCUUAACCUGGGAAUGGCACUUGAAACCACGGGACUGGAGUAUGGCAGAGGGAGGUGGAAUUCCACGUGUAGCGGUGAAAUGCGUAGAGAUGUGGAGGAACACCGAUGGCGAAGGCAGCCUCCUGGGCCAAUACUGACGCUCAUGCACGAAAGCGUGGGGAGCAAACAGG
rnacentral:rRNA from 1 species